CUCAGGAUGAACGCUGGCGGCGUGCUUAACACAUGCAAGUCGAACGGGUUAUUAGAAGCUGCUUUGGAUAACUUAGUGGCGGACGGGUGAAGUAACGCGUAGGGUAACCUGCCUUAGUACCGGGGGACAACAGUUGGAAACGACUGCUAAUACCGCAUAAGCGCACAGUAUCGCAUGAUACAGUGUAGAAAAAACCGUCCGGGUGGUAAUAAGAUCGGACCCGCGUCUGAUUACGCCAGGUUGGCGGUAGUAACGGACCACCAAAGCGACGAUCAGUAGCCGGCCUGAGAGGGCAAACGGCCACAUUGGGACUGAGACACGGCCCAAACUCCUACGGGAGGCAGCAGUGGGGAAUAUUGCACAAUGGAGGAAACUCUGAUGCAAGCGACGCCGCGUGAGUGAAGAAGUAUUUCGGUAUGUAAAGCUCUAUCAGCAGGAAAGAAAAUGACGGUACCUGACUAAGAAGCCCCGGCUAACUACGUGCCAGCAGCCGC
rnacentral:rRNA from 1 species